rnacentral:rRNA from 1 species
GACGAACGCUGGCGGCGUGCUUAACACAUGCAAGUCGAACGGAAAGGCCCUGCUUUUGUGGGGUGCUCGAGUGGCGAACGGGUGAGUAACACGUGAGUAACCUGCCCUUGACUUUGGGAUAACUUCAGGAAACUGGGGCUAAUACCGGAUAGGAGCUCCUGCUGCAUGGUGGGGGUUGGAAAGUUUCGGCGGUUGGGGAUGGACUCGCGGCUUAUCAGCUUGUUGGUGGGGUAGUGACUUACCAAGGCUUUGACGGGUAGCCGGCCUGAGAGGGUGACCGGCCACAUUGGGACUGAGAUACGGCCCAGACUCCUACGGGAGGCAGCAGUGGGGAAUAUUGCACAAUGGGCGGAAGCCUGAUGCAGAAACGCCGCGUUCGGGAUGACGGCCUUCGGGUUGUAAACCGCUUUCGCCUGUGACGAAGCGUGAGUGACGGUAAUGGGUAAAGAAGCACCGGCUAACUACGUG